rnacentral:rRNA from 1 species
UACGUAGGGGGGCUAGCGUUGUCCGGAUUUAUUGGGCGUAAAGAGCGUGUAGGCGGCCAGAUAGGUCUGCUGUGAAAACUCGAGGCUCAACCUCGAGAUGUCGGCGGAAACCAUUUGGCUAGAGUCCGGAAGAGGAAAGUGGAAUUCCUGGUGUAGCGGUGAAAUGCGCAGAUAUCAGGAGGAACACCGGUGGCGAAGGCGGGUCUCUGGGCCGAUACUGACGCUGAGGAGCGAAAGCGUGGGGAGCGAACAGG